rnacentral:lncRNA from 1 species
AUCUGCCAUCGCUGCUCUCAAGAGGCCCCCAGGGCAUGGGAACCUCCGUCAUCCCUGUGGCCAGCCGUUUGCUGUGAUGGUGUAUGUGGGCAGGUGACAGAUUUUCCUUUGUGGUUUCCCAUCUCAACGGCAUUUCCUUCACAAGACUUCACACCACUCCCCGGCUAAACAAGAACAGGCCUGUAUGGUGUCAAAAACUAAAACUCACAUUGUUUGUCCAGCAUCUUCACGGACAUUUGAGGAGCCUGUGAAAACUGCUGCACCGCCAUAGGAAUCUCUGAGAAAGGUGGCUCACAUGCGAUAAGACCAAUUAGAUAACAAGUAAACAGAGAAGACUUCAAAGAAAAUUCAACAAGAACAUUUAACGUACGCUGUGCUUUUUCUGAACCAUGACAUCAGUCUUAUCAUCUAGUGAGACACGGGCAUCUUUGUUCCCGCCACAUGUGACUGAUAACAGUCUCUAGAGAAAGAAAGAAGCGGAAGUUAUGUCAUCGAUUCCUCAUGGACCAAUGAUAUGUUUUCAACAAAACAGAUAUGAUUGAUCCCGUUCAGCUAGGCUAGCAUAGAGGCUAAAUUCAUUAAACUAACACCUCAUAUUCCCAGCCCAAAUCUCUGGAGAAGCAUUACCUCAGAUAUCAAAAGAGAAGUACAACAACAACAUUUGAAUUGCAGUAACAUUAUCUUGCAUAAAAACACACAGGGGUUGGCAAAGUUUAUAGACAACUGUGUAUGUUGACGCCUGUUAGUUGUUAUUUAUACAACGAGAGCAAUAAGUCAGACUGCAUAAAUGACUGUGAAAUCAAAUUCAGCAGAAGUCACUAGGGAAAAGGAGCUAAAGAUAGGGCCAUUUGAAUGCCAUCUCUGUUAUGGGGCCAUGUGUCACAGACCCAGCGGUGGAACUUUAUUUAAGCUUCAUUCCCAUGAAUGAACUGUAGUUAUUUACCCAGAGUUCCAGACUGUAUGGAGCCAAUGUGUUUUCUCUGAUCAGUGGUCCUUCAGGCUGACAUACAAACAUCAGACUGACUCGCCACUUAAUUCAGUUCUAAAAUUAUGUAGAAUUUACGAUGUCCAGGGAAUUAAAACAAUAAUGAGGAAUAAGG